rnacentral:rRNA from 1 species
GACGAACCGUGCGAACGUUGUUCGGAUUCACUGGGCUUAAAGGGCGCGUAGGCGGCUUGCCAAGUCAGGGGUGAAAUCUUUCGGCUCAACCGGAAAAGUGCUUCUGAUACUGGCGAGCUGGAGGGAGGUAGGGGCAGAUGGAACUUCCGGUGGAGCGGUGAAAUGCGUAGAUAUCGGAAGGAACGCCGGUGGCGAAAGCGAUCUGCUGGACCUCUUCUGACGCUGAGGCGCGAAAGCCAGGGGAGCAAACGG